GCUGUGGGCGGGGCCAGGACACUCAGCUGGUAGGGAGGCCAGAGCCUGGAUGGUUGUCAGGACUGUAUGGCUGAAGUCCCCACUGUACAACUGGUUUUGUUUUGAGACUGGUUUUCAUUAGACAGCCCAUGUCCCCAUGCGUAGGCUUUAAAAAAUCUUUUUCCCCCCCAAUGUGGCCAAAGGUAGCUUCAAACUCACUAGGUAGCGCAGGCUAGCCUUAAAUUCCUAAACCUCUCCUCAGUCUCCUGAGUACUAGAACAAUACAUGUGUGCCACCAUGUCCCGCUAAGACCUUAUAUUCUUAUGCAUUUUGUGAAUAACAUUUACUGCUUAAAAAUAAAAUCCCCUGGCCAGGCGGUGCUGGCUCACACCUUUAAUCCCAGCACUCGGGAGGCAGAGGCAGGCGAUCUCUGUGAGUUCGAGGCCAGCCUGGUCUAGAGAGAAGUUCCAGGACAGCCUCCAAAGCCACAGAGAAACCCUGUCUGCAGCCCCCCUCGGCCCCCCGAGUUCACUUUCUUCACUCAUGUAUGUCUGGGCUACAUGAAGAAGCGCUUGUGACUACUGCGUGUGCACUGGGCUACUGGACAUCGAGCACCGAGGUGAGCGCCCGUGCCACACACACCGGCUGAGCUGAGUGCAAACGGCCCAGGUUCUGAAGGCUUCUGCUCACAUCUCCACGUGGCAAAUGCUGAGACACCGGCAAUUCCCGCUCACUACAGACGGCACUGAAUACCAGCGGCACUCACUUCCCACAGAUGGCCUUCGUACCGGAAGCUCCGUCCCCCGCCCCGGGGCCAUCAUCCUGAGCCCUCCAGGGACCCCAACAGCUGUGCCCGGGGCGGGGCGGGGCGGGCGCGGCAGCCCGGGGGCCGCACCUUCCACAUACUCCAUGACCAUGCAGAGGUGGCGGCGGGUCUCAAAGGAGCAGAACAUGCCGACCACGAAGGGGUUCUCCGCGAAGAGGCUGCUUCCAGGCAAACUCCUAUACAUCCUUCAAGACCCACCUUUUUAGUGCCCUUUCCAGCCCACACCAUACAUGGGAGACCUCUAUGAUGGGGCAGUUCCGCUGCAGCCACACCCCCGAAAUCACACCUGUUUAUCAAGCAUCUACUUCCAGCCACCCAGGAAAGGGAAAAACAUGGCUACCUCAGCUUGUAGCUCACCUCAGGGUAUCCAGGAGCUGGGGGCUGGUCUUCAUCAAGGUCAUUCAGGGGCUGGAUCUCUGUCAAAGGAUGCAAGAUUUAUUUCUUUUUAAACAGGAUUUCACUAUGCAGCCCAAUAGCAAGAACUAUAGAAUCUUCUAGAAAGGCCAUGAUUUGGGAUUUUAAUGCUCCGGAUGGAUGUUCCUCCACCCCAAUAUGUCCUUGCUCUAGGGGAUGGCAGACAGCAGGCUCCAGUGAGUCUCAGUGUGCGUUAGUUACUCACGGUGGCAGGGCCAGUGUCUUGGGGACAAGGACCCUGGGUUCGAGUCCAGGCCCGCCGUGCCCUGGGCGCCCGUGACUCACCUUCCAGCGGGUCCUUGGCCAGGCCCAGCUGGCGGAUGAUGUAGCGUGGCAGGUCGGCCUUCACGCCCUGAUCCUCGCGGGCCUGGCCCUCAGCGGCCUCCAGCAGAUGGUAGAAUUCCUCGGGGUCGAACUCCUGGAAGGAGAGGCCGUGAGCCCCCGCCCCUCACGGCGCCCCCCGAGCCCCAGGACUCCCGGGGCGGCGGCCCACCAGGCACUCGAGCAGCCGCGCCGGCCUGGAGAUGAUGAUGAGCAGCUUGCGGACCAGCUGUACGAUGAAGCCCACCUCGGCACUGUCAGACCGCUCGUGAGCCUGUGGGGCACAUGGGAUGAGGCCACGCCCGCCGGUGAGGCCCCGCCCGCUGGUGAGGCCACGCCUGCUGAGGGAGCCCAGCCACCAGCGGGCGGGGCCGUACCCACAUUCCCCCCCCCAGGCGUGGUCCUCUGCCGGCCCCGCCCCACGCACAUCCUGCAGCAGGCGCUCCAGCUUGUCCUGCAUCUCCAGGAAGUAGCGGGAGGUGACCAGGGCCUCGCCCGACUUGGCUAGGCAGUCCCGCGCCAGCUCCACAAUCUGGUGGUGGAUGAAGCCCAGGACCCCGUCAGCCAGCGCCAGGCGGCUGCCAGGGGCGAACGCUGCCAGGAAGUCCUGCAGCCGGCCCUCCAUCUGUGCGGUGGCCUGUGGAGGACGGAGGCUCCCGACGUUCGUCCAGGGCUGAAAGAGUGACAGGAGGGUGAGGGCGCUGAAGGCACGGCCUGUGCAGAGGGCCCCGCCCAGCCUACCUGAGGCUGCGGGAGCGUGGGCGCAGGCGCGGGGACCGGCCUCCUGCGUCCUCGUCCACCACGCUCUCCGAGCUGCGGAAGUGCUUGGACAGGAAGCGCAGCUCGUCCGCUGUGGGCUGGAAGGGAAGCUGGUGGAGACGCUCUCGGGAAGAUGAGCUUGACUGCCGAAAGGAAGGCCAGGGUCACAGCGGGCUUAGCGCGCACCCUGCCAGGCACCGCCGAGGACGCCCCAGCCCACUGUUGAGCCCUCCCGGCCAGAGAGGGACCCCACACCCACACGCCGCCAAAGGGCAUGGCCGGCCCGUCUACCCCAUCCACCUGCCCGUACCGACACGGUGGAGCUGGGCGUGUUGGUCCCAUAGCCGGAGGAUGGGAGAGAAGCAAGCGACCAUCUUCUGCCAUCAGCCCUGGAGAGAGACAGGGGCAGAUGGAAAGGCAGCCUGGCUGUGCUGGGCGGGAUUUGCAGCAGGCUGCGCUGGUGCAUUCCCAGUUUCUGGAUCAAGGACCCCGCUGACAGCCAGGUCCAAUGCUUGUAUUCUUCAAACAUUGCCUCCAGGGAGCUCUCCCUGAUGCCUGCACCCACCCAAGCUUUGGCCUGUCAGUUGCUGAUUUGGGGAUCCCUGUGCCCAGGCCCUAGGCACAUCAUGUCAGCUCUUGGUUAGUGAA